GAGCUCCAAGACAGGAUUGGGUGGAGAAGAUGCAUGCCAGAAGACCAGCUUCAUCCAUGAAGCCUGAGUUGUGUGCUGAUCAAAGAGUUAAUCUUGGCAUGGCAGCCCCUCUUGACAUGACUUUUAGCCUCUGAGUUUAUGGCAGUGCUUUUGAUAAGGUUCAUUGAUGAAGAUCUUUCUAAUGGACAUAUGAUGUAAAAUAUUCCAAAAGAUUAUAUCCCUUCAGUGCCCAUUGUAUACUCAGACAGAACCCUACAGCAGCAAGGAGAGGAGCAUAUAGGUUGGGGCAAUUAGGCUUUGAUCCUUGGACCAGCUUGAUCCUGCAUUCUUACAUUAGUGGGUGAUAGCACUGAACUUCCAGAAGCAGUGGUCUUCAUUUCAUCUGGCAAAUGCUUGUAAAGUGGGUUCUGCCCUUAUAAGUAAAGAACAGAGGAGCCAAAGGAA
rnacentral:lncRNA from 1 species